rnacentral:piRNA from 1 species
UGGGCUAGGUAUAGAAUUGUUUCUGUCUC